rnacentral:rRNA from 1 species
GUCGAGCGGAAGGCCCUUCGGGGUACUCGAGCGGCGAACGGGUGAGUAACACGUGGGUAACCUGCCUUCAGCUCUGGGAUAAGCCUGGGAAACUGGGUCUAAUACCGGAUACGACACGCGACCGCAUGGUUGUGUGUGGAAAGUUUUUCGGCUGGAGAUGGACUCGCGGCCUAUCAGCUUGUUGGUGGGGUAGUGGCCUACCAAGGCGAUGACGGGUAGCCGGCCUGAGAGGGCGACCGGCCACACUGGGACUGAGACACGGCCCAGACUCCUACGGGAGGCAGCAGUGGGGAAUAUUGCGCAAUGGGCGGAAGCCUGACGCAGCAACGCCGCGUGAGGGAUGACGGCCUUCGGGUUGUAAACCUCUUUCAGCGCUGACGAAGCCUUCGGGUGACGGUAGGCGCAGAAGAAGCACCGGCUAACUACGUGCCAGCAGCCGCGGUAAUACGUAGGGUGCGAGCGUUGUCCGGAAUUAUUGGGCGUAAAGGGCUCGUAGGCGGUUUGUCACGUCUGCUGUGAAAGCCCGGGGCUUAACCCCGGGUCUGCAGUGGAUACGGGCAGGCUAGAGUCCGGCAGGGGAGACUGGAAUUCCUGGUGUAGCGGUGGAAUGCGCAGAUAUCAGGAGGAACACCGGUGGCGAAGGCGGGUCUCUGGGCCGGUACUGACGCUGAGGAGCGAAAGCGUGGGGAGCGAACAGGAUUAGAUA